GACGAACGCUGGCGGCGUGCCUAAUACAUGCAAGUAGAACGCAGUUGCGAACGGGUGAGUAACGCGUAGGUAACUGCCUCAUAGCGGGGGAUAACUAUUGGAAACGAUAGCUAAUACCUCAUACUGUGAGAUGGACCUGCGUUGUAUUAGCUAGUUGGUGAGGUAAAGGCUCACCAAGGCGACGAUACAUAGCCGACCUGAGAGGAGGAUCCACCUCCCGGGGACUGAGACACGGCCCAGACACCUACUCACAACAACAUUAACAAAUCUUCCACAAUUGACGGAAGUCUGACCAAACAACGCCGCGUGAGUGAAGAAAUUUGUCGGAUCAUAAACCUCUGUUGUUAGAGAAGCGGUAACUAACCAGAAAGGGACGGCUAACUACGGGCCAGCAGCCGCGGUAAUAC
rnacentral:rRNA from 1 species